rnacentral:rRNA from 1 species
AUUGAACGCUGGCGGCAGGCCUAACACAUGCAAGUCGAGCGAGCGGCGGACGGGUGAGUAAUGUCUGGGAAACUGCCCGAUGGAGGGGGAUAACUACUGGAAACGGUAGCUAAUACCGCAUACUAUCAGAUGAGCCCAGAGGGGAUUAGCUAGUAGGUGGGGUAACGGCUCACAUAGGCGACGAUCCCUAGCUGGUCUGAGCGGAUGAACAGCCACACUGGGACUGAGACCCGGUCCAGACUCCUACGGGAGGCAGCAGGGGGGAAUAUUGCACAAUGGGCGCAAGCCGGAUGCAGCCAGGCCGCGUGUAUGAAGAAGGCCUUAGGGUUGUAAAGUACUUUCAGCGGGGAGGCGUUACCCGCAGAAGAAGCACCGGCUAACUCCGUGCCAGCAGCCGCGGUAAGUC